AAAUUGAAGAGUUUGAUCAUGGCUCAGAUUGAACGCUGGCGGCAGGCCUAACACAUGCAAGUCGAACGGUAACAGGAAGCAGCUUGCUGCUUUGCUGACGAGUGGCGGACGGGUGAGUAAUGUCUGGGAAACUGCCUGAUGGAGGGGGAUAACUACUGGAAACGGUGGCUAAUACCGCAUAACGUCGCAAGACCAAAGAGGGGGACCUUCGGGCCUCUUGCCAUCAGAUGUGCCCAGAUGGGAUUAGCUUGUUGGUGAGGUAACGGCUCACCAAGGCGACGAUCCCUAGCUGGUCUGAGAGGAUGACCAGCCACACUGGAACUGAGACACGGUCCAGACUCCUACGGGAGGCAGCAGUGGGGAAUAUUGCACAAUGGGCGCAAGCCUGAUGCAGCCAUGCCGCGUGUAUGAAGAAGGCCUUCGGGUUGUAAAGUACUUUCAGCGGGGAGGAAGGUGUUGUGGUUAAUAACCGCAGCAAUUGACGUUACCCGCAGAAGAAGCACCGGCUAACUCCGUGCCAGCAGCCGCGGUAAUACGGAGGGUGCAAGCGUUAAUCGGAAUUACUGGGCGUAAAGCGCACGCAGGCGGUCUGUCAAGUCGGAUGUGAAAUCCCCGGGCUCAACCUGGGAACUGCAUUCGAAACUGGCAGGCUUGAGUCUUGUAGAGGGGGGUAGAAUUCCAGGUGUAGCGGUGAAAUGCGUAGAGAUCUGGAGGAAUACCGGUGGCGAAGGCGGCCCCCUGGACAAAGACUGACGCUCAGGUGCGAAAGCGUGGGGAGCAAACAGGAUUAGAUACCCUGGUAGUCCACGCCGUAAACGAUGUCUACUUGGAGGUUGUGCCCUUGAGGCGUGGCUUCCGGAGCUAACGCGUUAAGUAGACCGCCUGGGGAGUACGGCCGCAAGGUUAAAACUCAAAUGAAUUGACGGGGGCCCGCACAAGCGGUGGAGCAUGUGGUUUAAUUCGAUGCAACGCGAAGAACCUUACCUGGUCUUGACAUCCACGGAAGAAUUCAGAGAUGGAUUUGUGCCUUCGGGAACCGUGAGACAGGUGCUGCAUGGCUGUCGUCAGCUCGUGUUGUGAAAUGUUGGGUUAAGUCCCGCAACGAGCGCAACCCUUAUCCUUUGUUGCCAGCGGUCCGGCCGGGAACUCAAAGGAGACUGCCAGUGAUAAACUGGAGGAAGGUGGGGAUGACGUCAAGUCAUCAUGGCCCUUACGACCAGGGCUACACACGUGCUACAAUGGCGCAUACAAAGAGAAGCGACCUCGCGAGAGCAAGCGGACCUCAUAAAGUGCGUCGUAGUCCGGAUUGGAGUCUGCAACUCGACUCCAUGAAGUCGGAAUCGCUAGUAAUCGUGGAUCAGAAUGCCACGGUGAAUACGUUCCCGGGCCUUGUACACACCGCCCGUCACACCAUGGGAGUGGGUUGCAAAAGAAGUAGGUAGCUUAACCUUCGGGAGGGCGCUUACCACUUUGUGAUUCAUGACUGGGGUGAAGUCGUAACAAGGUAACCGUAGGGGAACCUGC
rnacentral:rRNA from 5 species